rnacentral:rRNA from 1 species
UACGUAGGGUGCAAGCGUUGUCCGGAAUCAUUGGGCGUAAAGAGCGUGUAGGCGGCCCGGUAAGUCCGCUGUGAAAGUCCAGGGCUCAACCCUGGGAUGGCGGUGGAUACUGUCGGGCUCGAGUCCGGAAGAGGAGUGUGGAAUUCCUGGUGUAGCGGUGAAAUGCGCAGAUAUCAGGAGGAACACCAAUGGCGAAGGCAGCACUCUGGGACGUGACUGACGCUGAGACGCGAAAGCGUGGGGAGCAAACAGG